AUGCUUCUACGAAGGCCACAGCAGAAAAACAGCCUGAUGCCGAAUAUUUCUGUGCCACGAAGUAAUCAAGAGGCGAGUGCCUAUAAUGCGGACGAAAUCGAGUGCAUCGAGACUUAGAACGACAGAAAGCUGAGCUAGUUGACAAUGCCUACGCCUAGCCACAGCAGCUCCCUCAUACAGACUCCGCAAGCCAAGAGGCCGUGGAGCCAAAUGCAGGCAGCCAGCACACCUCGAACAGCCACCUUGACUGCAGGUGUGUCACCCUAGUCGCCAAGGAAACAUUUGAGGGAAAGUGACAGGCAAUGUGAACAGCCACUUCUCCACUUCUCUCGGAUGACUCCUACGCCUCGCCACGCCAGCACACUUGUGCACAAAGAUGCCGCAGAGGCACGUGCAGGUCAGAGGCAAGAAGCAGUGGCACUGGUGUCGACUUUUACCCAAUUUCUUUUUCUUACACUGAGGCAGCCAGCACACCUCGAACAGCCACCUUGACUGCGGGUGUGUCAGUAGAUUCCUGUUGUACAUAUGCUCAUAAUAAACUUCAGUAAACUUGAACUUCAUAAUAAACUUGAAGGCAAAUGGGA